rnacentral:rRNA from 1 species
CCUACGGGUGGCAGCAGUGAGGAAUAUUGGUCAAUGGACGCAAGUCUGAACCAGCCAUGCCGCGUGCAGGAAGACGGCUCUAUGAGUUGUAAACUGCUUUUGUACGAGGGUAAACGCAGAUACGUGUAUCUGUAUGAAAGUAUCGUACGAAUAAGGAUCGGCUAACUCCGUGCCAGCAGCCGCGGUAAUACGGAGGAUUCAAGCGUUAUCCGGAUUUAGUGGGUUUAAAGGGUGCGUAGGCGGUCGGAUAAGUUAGAGGUGAAAUCCCGAGGCUCAACUUCGGAAUUGCCUCUGAUACUGUUCGGCUAGAGAGUAGUUGCGGUAGGCGGAAUGUAUGGUGUAGCGGUGAAAUGCUUAGAGAUCAUACAGAACACCUAUUGCGAAGGCAGCUUACCAAGCUACUUCUGACGUUGAGGCACGAAAGCGUGGGGAGCAAACAGGAUUAGAUACCCCUGUAGUC